CUUAUCAGUCGAGCCUGCUUAAGCAUCCUGAAAAUGCUAUAAUAGGAGGGAAAGAUGUUCAAACCUCCAAAUGGGA
rnacentral:tRNA from 1 species